AUCCUUUUUUGGUUCAUAAGCGUGAUGAUUGGGAAUUCACGCCAAUGCGUGAUGUGUGCCGCCCAGUAAGCCUUUUUACGACGUUGGCACAUUACCCGUCUAACG